rnacentral:rRNA from 1 species
GCACACUCCGAGCGAGGAGCCGCGGUGAGACGGGGGGUGGAAGCGUGAAGCGGAAGUGCUGGGCGGAAAGCGCACGCAGGCGGUCUGGCAAGUCGGAUGUGAAAUCCCCGGGCUCAACCUGGGAACUGCAUUCGAAACUGGCAGGCUAGAGUGUUGUAGAGGGGGGUAGAAUUCCAGGUGUAGCGGUGAAAUGCGUAGAGAUCUGGAGGAAUACCGGUGGCGAAGGCGGCCCCCUGGACAAAGACUGACGCUCAUGCACGAAAGCGUGGGGAGCAAACAGGAUUAGAUACCCGAGUAGUC